GCCAGGAGCAUUGUCUCAGGGGGGAGAUAACGUCUGUCUCCUUAAGGGAGAAAAUAUCUGCCCCUUUGGCUGUCCUGACUGAAGAUGGAAAGCCCAAGCCAAAGGAGGAAGGCUUAGUCGUUUUAUGAUGUUCUAUGUGAAACCGCACAGGAAGUUCAUUGGCUGCUAAUUUCAGAAGACCUCCCCCAGUCCAAAGGGCUCAGAAUAAAGGGGCUUUCAUCUUUGAGUUACAGUGAUGCUGACUAGGCCUUCAAAGUUUAGUCACAGCUAUUUAAAUGCUGAAGUUAAUAAGAAACAGUACCUAUGACAUGCACAGUAGUCAGGCCAAAGAGUUUGUAACACUUUCUUCUCAGAGGGCCUCAGUAUCUUGGAACAGGAUCUCCAAGGGAAGCACUUAAAGUUGCAGAGUUUUGGACAUUUAAAAUGGCAGGAUGGCACUAGGAAAGUGCUACAGGGAAACAUCCUGCAUUGGCCCCCAGGAAAUGAGCUUUGCCCAGAUGGUGCAGUGCCAGAGUCAAGGAGACUGGAAACAGAGAGUCAGCCUCUGAGACAGAUCAAUGGGUCAUGGCACUUAGAAUCAGGAACCUUGCCCUCUUACCAUAGAGGCUAAAAUGAUGUAGGAUUCUGAGGGAGUGAGGUGGGGUGAAUAUGCCCUCUGUGUCCUCAGCAAUGAGAGGAAGGAGUUACUGUGAUUCCUUGUAGGGAAGGAAAGAUACCUGCCCUGCCCUAAAGGGAGUGCACAAGCUGUCAGCCCUGGAUGGAGGGGUAAGAGCUGGAUCUGUUAAUGAAGGCAGACUAUUAAAGGAAAUGUUUGGAGUGUG